UAAAAAUUGGCAUGUAGAAAGGUAAUACAUGAACGAUGCAGGAUACACCUGGUUUCUGCAAAAAGUUAAACUUAAGGUACAAAAACAGAAAAUAAAAAAAAUAUGUCUAGGAGGAAGUUAAAUGUGAUUGUGUGUGGGACAGACUGCCUCAAGUGGUCAUGCUCAAUAUUCUGGACACUCACUGGAAUAAUAUUCGUUCUUGCUGCAGAGCUUACACAAGGGAGUCAUUGCGAGGACGAUAGCGAACAAUGGACAAUAAUUGCACUUCCUAUAGUGUCUGCAUGUACAAUGCUAUUUUCAGGAAUAAGUAUAUGUUCAGGAAUGGGAGUGUGUUUAAAGACGCUUUGCUCCGUAAUUUGGACUUUAAUUGGAAUUGUGUGUACCAGUUUGUCGUGUUAUUUUAUCACUAUGCAUUGUAAAGACAUGCAAGCAGUAUUGAUUGGACUGGUUGUGACUGGUUCCCUGACAAUCUGGAUAGGUGGAUGUGUUAUUGGACGUCUAACAAAACAAGGCGGAGGUUUUAGGAAAAUAUAAUACAAUAGUGGUCUUUGUACUUCUUUUCUUUGUAUCAAAUGAUUUUUUUUAAUUUCAAUAUCGUAUUCUCUAUUUCCGAAUGUUCAUAUCUAAAUUUGAAAGAGGUUUUUUUAUUUUUUAUUCUUAAAUUCUUAUUUAUAAAACAGUCAUUUUUUAUAAGAAAACACAUUUUUUCAGUUUUUUUUAACUCGGCCUAUAAAUCUAUUUAUCCAGAAUGCAUUCAUAUGUUUUAAAAAGCCAUAUAUAUGGUUUCUCAAAAACAUUUUUAAAACUCGAUAAAGGUCAACAUAGUAUCGUUAAACUUUUAUGAAAUACAAUUGGGGUUAACAUUAAAAACUAUAAUUAAAAACAAACGAAGAUCAGCCUUUCACUGAACUAGUACAAAUUUUUAUUAAGGGUCCAGGUGAGGCCCACCUCCGGGUGCUGGAGCUUCUCGCUGAUUUGAAGACGCAUUGGUGGCCUUCGGCUGUUUGGUCGGGUUGUUGUCUCUUUGACAUAUUCCCUACUUCCAUUUUCAUUUUUAUUUGAUCCUUUGAAUUAUGAACCAUAAUUGCACCCUGAUCAUGGAAAUCAUAAAUAUGGAUAUGGUUUGCUUUUGGUAACAUAAGAUACUUUCAUGAACCACACCAAUUUUUGUUUGGAUGGUUACGUUAACUCAUGUGACAUAAAUGUGUCUUUUUACGGAAACAAACAUUUUAAUCAAGACGGAAAUUUUCAUGAAAAUGAACCGACACGCUACAAUUGUGUCUAACACUUAGUAAUAGAUAAAUAUAUUGCUUUUGAAGUCUUAAAUACCAUGCAUAUCAUACAGAAAAGGAAAAGAAAAUUUGAUAUACCUGAAUAAAAAUGUUUAAGAUAAAUAAUAUUGGAUUUGAAAUAGGAUGUAGAACCAAAUUUCCUGUACUUUUUAAUAAUGGCAGGUUUUUUUUUACAACAAACCUAUAUAUCUGUAACAUAUUUCAUUUGUGGUGACAAUUUUAUUCAGAAAAUCUUGUCAAGCUAUCAAUAGUCAAGCUUGCAGAGAGUUAUUAACAAUGUAGUUCACAUUACAGGCAAAUUUUAUGGUAUGUGUGCCUUUCGUCGCUAAAUAGGUUAACAUUAGAUUUCAGAAAACGCACAGGUAGAGCAAGAUAAAGAAAUAAACAGUGCAUCUGAAAAUAGAUUAAAAAAAGGAACAAACUCAACAUUUACAUUUUGUCAUUGAUAUUGCAAAUGCAAAUAUUUUUGUAAACAUUAUUAAAAAUGCAACUAGA